CUACGUGCCAGCAGCCGCGGUAAUACGGAAGGUCCGGGCGUUAUCCGGAUUUAUUGGGUUUAAAGGGAGCGUAGGCUGGAGAUUAAGUGUGUUGUGAAAUGUAGACGCUCAACGUCUGACUUGCAGCGCAUACUGGUUUCCUUGAGUACGCACAACGUUGGCGGAAUUCGUCGUGUAGCGGUGAAAUGCUUAGAUAUGACGAAGAACUCCGAUUGCGAAGGCAGCUGACGGGAGCGCAACUGACGCUGAAGCUCGAAGGUGCGGGUAUCGAACAGGAUUAGAUACCCUGGUAGUCCGCACAGUAAACGAUGGAUGCCCGCUGUUGGUACUUGGUAUCAGCGGCUAAGCGAAAGCAUUAAGCAUCCCACCUGGGGAGUACGCCGGCAACGGUGAAACUCAAAGGAAUUGACGGGGGCCCGCACAAGCGGAGGAACAUGUGGUUUAAUUCGAUGAUACGCGAGGAACCUUACCCGGGCUUGAAUUGCAGAGGAAGGAUUUAGAGAUAA
rnacentral:rRNA from 1 species